GAUGAACGCUGGCGGCGUGCUUAACACAUGCAAGUCGAACGGAAAGGCUCCUGCUUGCAGGGGUACUCGAGUGGCGAACGGGUGAGUAACACGUGGGUGAUCUGCCCUGCACUUCGGGAUAAGCCUGGGAAACUGGGUCUAAUACCGGAUAGGACCACAUUUUGGAUGGUGUGGUGGAAAGUUUUUCGGUGUGGGAUGAGCUCGCGGCCUAUCAGCUUGUUGGUGGGGUAAUGGCCUACCAAGGGGUCGACGGGUAGCCGGCCUGAGAGGGUGUACGGCCACAUUGGGACUGAGAUACGGCCCAGACUCCUACGGGAGGCAGCAGUGGGGAAUAUUGCACAAUGGGCGCAAGCCUGAUGCAGCGACGCCGCGUGGGGGAUGACGGCCUUCGGGUUGUAAACUCCUUUCGCUAGGGACGAAGCGCAAGUGACGGUACCUGGAGAAGAAGCACCGGCUAACUACGUG
rnacentral:rRNA from 1 species